rnacentral:rRNA from 1 species
GCAACUCGACUGCACGAAGUCGGAAUUGCUAGUAAUCGCGGAUCAGCAUGCCGCGGUGAAUACGUUCCCGGGCCUUGUACACACCGCCCGUCACACCAUGAGAGUCGGGAACACCCGAAGUCGGUAGUCUAACCUCGUGAGGACGCCGCCGAAGGUGGGCUUGAUAAUUGGGGUGAAGUCGUAACAAGGUAGC